GCCCCACUCGAUUUCUUCCCAAGAUUUCCCGUUUUCUGAAAAUUUUCCCCCAUUGAUUUCUUGUAUUCCCCUAAUUCAUUUUGUGGGUCACAAUCAAUGUAAUUAGGGCUUUGUACUGCAGAGAUUUGAACUGUGCAAAUCAUAGGGAGUCGCAGUCCACGAGUUGGUAUCACUCCCCACAGCACGUUCACCAAAAGGAUUUCACAAACUCCCUUCCAAUAUUUUCUUCAUCAUCCCAGAGUUACUCUCUGUUUCUUCCCUAAUACGAGUUUGGCAGGGCUACCCAAAUUCUUGCUGAUGAGCAAUCUCAAAGAAACACUAGUAAUCGAAAAAAACUUAAGGUUAAACAUACUGGUGGCAGGAAAUCCUUUGUCAGGAUUUUGGAAGAGAGGCGCGAUACAACACCGAAUCUGGUUGCCUUCUAUAAAGAAACACAUUGGUCAAGGCAAAAGGAGAAAUUUAUCAAUGCUGAUUCUGAACACAAUUAUAAUUUAAUGAUGGAGAGGUUGAACGAGAAAGACGAUGAUGAGGAAAUUGAAGAAGCAGCUGAGAGUAUUUUCAAGGAUGUUUUAGGAUACAAAUCUGGUUAUGCAAAAGGGCUGGGGCACUCGGUCAUUCCUGACCCCUCUCCUUCAAUGCAGAAGAACAAAGCAUUUGUGCGUUUGGCUGAGGAGAAUGACAGAAACAAGACUUGUGCAGAAAUGUACAAGUCUAAACUAGACCAAAUAAUGGGUGACAUGGAAGCUAUGAAGAGAAAUUUUUCUGAGUGUGAGAAAGGAAUGCACCUCCGGAUGUCUGAGUUGGAGUCAAAUCGUGAGUCUCAAAGAGAGACUCUGGGAGAUGCUUAGGCAUCUAUGUUAAGAGAAAAGCCCUACCUUUUUUGAGACCAAACUUUUUGUGGAUAUGAUGGAAGUAGGUGGUAGUGUGGGAAGUGAUAAUUAUGGUAUUUUGUUGCUAGUUUUUUGGAACCCACUUGUAGUCUGGUCUUUAUAAGUAACAUCCAUUAAUAUUUUGGAGAAAUUUACCACUUGAGGAAUUUGCAUUGGAAUUGAUCAAGGUUGUAUAUUGUAGUAAAGUGAUUUUCAAAAAGCUUGGAAACUUAUGAAAGGGGUCCACACAGAAUUGUCAGAAGUUUAUGUAUUUUCACACCAUAGCUGAUCAAGUUCCAGUACCAGUUUCAUGGGAAAUGCAGUUAUGUAAGGCAAUUGGUGCAGAUUUCCUCACAACCAGCCCACAACAGUUUUCACCAAGUCAACAACUAGGAGUAUGUGGAGCUGGAAGAGGCUUUGCACCCAAAUUUUCUGGACAUUUAGUGGGAGCUUCAGCAUCAACUAGGCAUGGAAUGUUGAGGGAGUUGUGUCUAAAACUUGAAAAAUAUGUAAACAUUGUAGUUCCGC